rnacentral:tRNA from 1 species
GGGCGUGUGGUGUAGUGGUAUCACGUCUGCUUUGCAUGCAGAAGGCCCCGAGUUCAAACCUCGUUACGUCCA